rnacentral:tRNA from 1 species
GGAGAGAUGCCGGAGCGGCUGAACGGACCGGUCUCGAAAACCGGAGUCAAAUCCCCCUCUCUCCGCCA